UAAAAAUAAAUUUUUCAUUAAUUCAAAAAAAAAAGAUAAUAAAGAAGAGAUAUUAUACACAAAAAGACAUUUUUGUAACUUUUAAUCCAAAAAAAAAAGUCUUCAUGAAUAUUUUAAAAGAUUCUCUUUUAGACAUCAUCAUUAAAAAAGAAGAUACAAUCAUCAUCUAUUUGCAAUAAAUAACAAAGUAGUUAAGUUAAAAAAAGAAUCAAAACAAUACAUCAUUUGUCACAAAUGUGGUAGACUAGGCCAUUUUUUUCGAGAAUGUGAU
rnacentral:lncRNA from 1 species